UACGUAGGGUCCGAGCGUUGUCCGGAAUUACUGGGCGUAAAGAGCUCGUAGGUGGUUUGUCGCGUUGUUCGUGAAAACUCACAGCUCAACUGUGGGCGUGCGGGCGAUACGGGCAGACUAGAGUACUGCAGGGGAGACUGGAAUUCCUGGUGUAGCGGUGGAAUGCGCAGAUAUCAGGAGGAACACCGGUGGCGAAGGCGGGUCUCUGGGCAGUAACUGACGCUGAGGAGCGAAAGCGCGGGGAGCAAACAGG
rnacentral:rRNA from 1 species